rnacentral:rRNA from 1 species
AGCGCAGACGGUUGAUUAAGUCUGAUGUGAAAGCCCGGAGCUCAACUCCGGAAUGGCAUUGGAAACUGGUUAACUUGAGUGCAGUAGAGGUAAGUGGAACUCCAUGUGUAGCGGUGGAAUGCGUAGAUAUAUGGAAGAACACCAGUGGCGAAGGCGGCUUACUGGACUGUAACUGACGUUGAGGCUCGAAAGUGUGGGUAGCAAACA